ensembl:lncRNA
GCAGAAGCCAACAACAAGGACGAGCAGAAGGAGCCCUGCCUGGGCUGUGAUGCUCUGGGACGAGGGCAGCCAAGCCCUGGUGGUGGAGGUUCCCACCCUCUGGCUCUAAUAAGACCCCAAGCCCCAUCCUCUUUAUCAGUGUCACGUGCUGUCCAGGGCGGGUCGCAGAGCCAGUUUUUCUGCUCCCAGAGUGGGACUUGGGGAGGAGACCGCAAUGCUCAAAUAGCCACCGUGCUGCCCACUGCCAGCCAGGUGCUGAGGAGCCCACUCGCCUUUCCUGCUCCAGGUGUGACCACCUUGUGCUCCAGAGCCCUUUGGUUGUGGUGAAAUGUCGACGAUCCUGAAAUGGUUUGGACGGGAAGAUAAGGAGAGAGAGGAGAAGGAAGAGGAGAAGAAGCAGGAGGCAGAGGAGGAAAAGGACGAGGGAGUUGGGGACGGUGACAACAGGAGCAGCAGCAGCACAGAGGAGCCCCAGGACCAGGGCCGUGCUGAGGAUGUUGAGAAGGAAGCCCAGGAGUAGACUUGCUGGGCACGCCGAGGAGGUGGGGAUGCUGGAAGGGGCUGGCCACUGGUAGCCAAAUAAAAGCAUUUGGACCCCAAAGAGAGAUGCUGUUUAUUCAUCUCAGCAAGCUGUCCGUCCUCAAAACAGCUAUGAAAAG